rnacentral:tRNA from 1 species
CUCUCCGGUGGCCGGUACGGGCACCGGCUCGCCCCGGGCGGGGGCGGUGACCGCCGUGCCGUCCGUGGCGAGGCCGUUCCGCGGCGCCUCGGUGUGG